UACGUAGGGUGCGAGCGUUAAUCGGAAUUAUCGGGCGUAAAGCGUGCGCAGGCGGUUAUAUAAGUCAGAUGUGAAAUCCCCGGGCUCAACCUGGGACCUGCAUUCGAGACUGUAUAGCUAGAGUACGGUAGAGGGUGAUGGAAUUCCGCGUGUAGCAGUGAAAUGCGUAGAUAUGCGGAGGAACACCGAUGGCGAAGGCAAUCCCCUGGUCCUGUACUGACGCUCAUGCACGAAAGCGUGGGGAGCAAACAGG
rnacentral:rRNA from 1 species